CACAAUUCAAGUCCAAAUUGUCGUCAUGGUUGCUUGUUUUUUGCACAUUUUGCCAUUCAACGACGCUGUUCAGCGUUGGCUCUUUUUUUUGUUUUGGUCUAAAAUUAGAACAUGGGAUCGAAAAUAGAUCUAGCCAUCUGUUGUCUGUGACGUCAGGUGCGGAUGAGUUGUGGUCCAGGAGCUGACCCACCCACACCCAAUGUAAACACACAAAAUGCUGGAAUGCGCGAACCAUCAAAACGGAUUGCUUCGAUCGAGUUGUGGCGGUUCGUUUCGGGUUUGUUUGUACCCAUUAUCUCCCCUCUGUCUCGACACGAAAUGUCAUUGCCCAUUUUCAGCAAACUAAGAGUGACUGGUCGAUCUGUGAUCGAGAUUCUGGAGUGUUAGUUGAGUGCACGGCGCACCCAAAAGCGGAUGACGACUGGUAAAUGCCACCACGAGUGUUUGCUGUAUCAGUAAUUGGAGUUUAAAUGAUUAAUUAGCAAUGAAUAAUCUAUUUUGUAUUUAGAUUUCUACUGGUUAAGCACUGGCUACACAUCACUCCAACGACAGGCAUUCUCACGCAUUCUCUCUUGCACUUUUCGCUUGUGCAACUUGCUGGCUACGCUGGAAUGUGGCAGUUUCUUCCAUCUACGGGCACUGAUUCUUCGAAGCUAGCCAGAAAUUUCGCAUUGGGCGAGUCCCAGCAGCAGCAGCAGCAUCAGCAGCUGAUUCAUGCCGGAGCCCAGAGCCGAAAUCCGUACACAAAAGCGAAUCAAAGCGAAUCGCGCACACAUUGAACGCUGAAUACGUUGUGGCAGCCCCGCAAAACAACAGCAACAACAACAACAACAACAACAAGUAGGCGUCCUUCGACCAUGCCAAAUUCCAAAAUUCUUGCGCCGUUCGUUGUCGAUCGUCGGUCGUCGACAUCGACGUCAUUUCGCCCGCCAUUCAGCCUCAGCCUUAGCCUCUAUCGCUGUCUCUGUCGCUGUCUCUGCCUCCUCUCCGGGCUAUACGUAAAUAUUUACACAUGUCUUACAAGAGCUGGCAAUAUUUCGCUGUCGGAUAUAGCAUCGUGGGUGGAGUGGAUAUUUGUGUACACGGAUUACGAUUUAAAUGGAUUUGUCCCCCAUAGCUCAUUGCAUUCAUUGCUCCCGCAUACAAAACGAAAACCAAUCGGACAGUUCAAUGAAGUGGCCGAACGGAGGGCGAAGUUCAGGCGUUACGCAGUGUGCAGAUCUGAAUCCUUUUGAUUGGGAAUGCAAGCAGCGAGUCAGUGCCAGCUGCCAGCUGCCUUCGAAUCUUCAGUUUGGAGGGAGAGAGAGCGAGAGAGCGAGGGAGAGAGCACGACAUCAUAACAAUAAAACAAAAAAUAAUAACAAUUUGGCAGCAGCGUACAAUUUGCGUCAACAGCACUUGCCUCUGAGGUUGCUCCUCAGUAUAUAGUAGAAUAAAAAUAUCUAUACAUUUAUCCAUACAUAUAAAUACUUUCGUACAUACAUAUUUACAUAUUUAGCGUAGCAAGUGCCGCGUUUUAUAUAUAGAUCUAAGGAUGAGCCAUCAGCA